GUCACAGGGUGAGCCUGCGAUUAUGCAUGGACUACACACACAUACACCGGUGUCAUGUAUUGUAGUCUGUUAGCCGACAUAGAUUCAUGUAGGCAUGGACUUGUGUAACAUUCUAUGUCACUGUGUGUUGUAAAUUGGCUGUAUGAUGUCCUGUAUGUAGUUUUACCUGAGUUAUGUGAGAACUAGCAACCAUAACAUGAGUGCCUAUGAUGAUCACAUAAUAGAAUUGUCUUUUCACAUAUAUAGAAAUAAAUCACCACUACAAGUAUUUGAUUCACAUAGUUUAUUGAAUACAGUGUAAGAGAGAUGCAGAUUAUGCUUACCACAGUGCAUUUGUCCAUGUUAUUUCCAAGAGUCAUUUGCCAAACCUGUUCAGUUAGACAUCCAGUCUAUUUAUAGGUCUUUGUGUCCGCCAUCUUGUUCCUGUGAGUGAUGUCACCGGAGAGUCCAUUCUCAUAGCUGUAAGGGAGGAAGGUUUCUCAAGUUAUUUGUUUCCUUUGAAUAUGUAUACUUGUAUAUGACUUUUUCUUGUAUGUAUGUUUAUUUGUAUUUUAUUUUUGUGAUGGUUUUUGUUAUUUUCAGUAUGUAUUCGUAUGAUUUAGGUGAAACGUGUUACCUUUCAUAUGGUAUGUUCUGGAGUAGGAGGAGUCGGGCCUAUAAAAUGGCUCCAGAACGUUAGCAGGACAGUGCAGAGAUAGGAGGCGAGGAGAGAGUCUCUGGGGAAGUGCUGCUUAUGUAGGGCAGUUGCACAUACAGUGUUGAUUGUCAUCUGAUUGUGAGAGCACAAGCACUGGGGAUCUUUGGCUUUCCAACCUCGACCAAGAUGUCAGUUGAGCAGGAGAUGAUAUUGUCUACCACACCACGGGUGAUCAUGCUAGAAGGUCAUUGAGUUCUGAGGUGCUCUGCCUUGUCCUGAAUGGCAUCUGUGAUCCAGGGUCAGGGGCAGAGGAGGAAGAAGCCACUAUGCCACCAGCAUUAAUAAAAUGCUGCCUCUGGAGCAAAGCAUCCAUUUCUGCACACCACUGCCAAGAGGCAGCUGUGACUCAUCCGGCCUCUACCCCUUUCCCUGUUGGUGGGUCCCUCAACUCAUAAUAAUGAUAAUAAUAAUAAUACUAGAAAACAUUUAUCCUUCACUGCCCUAUAAAUAAUCAAACACACACACACACACACACACAUACAUCAAUUAAAAAUGGUGGUCUUAUAUUUCUCUUUUUGAUUGUUCCACUUUUUUUUGGCCUGUUUAGCCUAACUGGAAUGGCUGUGUUUUUAACAAAAACCCUGAACGGAGCAAACAUUUAAUCAAAAACAGAAAACUAUGAUGUAAAAUUAGACAGUUCGAAAUAAAAUGUAUAUAAAAUAAAAAUUGGUGUUACU